GGUAGUGUGGCCGAGCGUAGGCAGUGGGUUGUAAACCCACACACAGGGGUUACCCUCACUACCA
rnacentral:tRNA from 1 species